UACGUAGGGUCCAAGCGUUAUCCGGAUUUAUUGGGCGUAAAGCACAUGUAGGUGGCUUUGCCAGUCUCGUCUUAAAGCUCUGGGCUUAACCCAGAAUCUGGAUGAGAUACUACAAAGCUUGUGGUCAGCAGGGGCAAACGGAAUUCCCGGUGUAGGAGUGAAAUCCGUUGAUAUCGGGAGGAACACCAAUGGCGAAGGCAGUUUGCUAGGCUGAUUCAGACACUGAGAUGUGAAAGCGUGGGGAGCGAACGGG
rnacentral:rRNA from 1 species